UACGUAGGGUGCGAGCGUUAAUCGGAAUUACUGGGCGUAAAGCGUGCGCAGGCGGUUUUGUAAGCCAGAUGUGAAAUCCCCGGGCUCAACCUGGGAAUGGCAUUUGGGACUGCAAGGCUGGAGUGUGGCAGAGGAGACUGGAAUUCCUGGUGUAGCAGUGAAAUGCGUAGAUAUCAGGAGGAAUACCGAUGGCGAAGGCAGGUCUCUGGGCUGACACUGACGCUGAGGCGCGAAAGCGUGGGGAGCAAACAGG
rnacentral:rRNA from 1 species